AUGGAGGAGAAUCACAUACUACUCAUGAUUCUCAUCACAGUUUCAGGUGGAUUUGCUGAUAGAAUUGGAGCAAAAGAAGGGGAUACUUCUAUAAUCAGGAUUGAAGGAGAAGCUGUGACACUGAGUUGCUCAUAUGAUACAAGCAGCAGUAAUGUUUUGCUAUACUGGUACAGACAGUAUCCUAACAGAGAACCUCAAUAUUUACUGUAUAAAGGUGCUCGAUCAUACAGCAGUGAGGAGGAUAUACCAGAUGGGUUUAAGUCAGCUACAUCCCAAUCAUCCACUGAACUCACUAUUGUAAAAGCAGCUCUGUCAGAUUCAGCUCUUUAUUACUGUGCACUUAGAGUUGGAGCCCAGUGA